rnacentral:rRNA from 1 species
UACCACAUCCAAGGAAGGCAGCAGGCACGCAAAUUACCCACUCCCGGCACGGGGAGGUAGUGACAAAAAAUAACGAUACGGGACUCAUUUGAGGCCCCGUAAUCGGAAUGAGUACACUUUAAAUCCUUUAACAAGGAUCCAUUGGAGGGCAAGUCUGGUGCCAGCAGCCGCGGUAAUUCCAGCUCCAAUAGCGUCUUGGCAAAUGCUUUCGCNNNNNNNNNNNNNNNNNNNNGCAAGACGACCGAGAGCGAAAGCAUUUGCCAAGUAUGUCUCGAUUGAUCAAGAACGAAAGUUAGAGGUUCGAAGGCGAUCAGAUACCGCCCUAGUUCUAACCAUAAACGAUGCCAGCCAGCGAUCCGCCGAUGUUCCUCCGAUGACUCGGCGGGGAGCUUCUCCCCGGGAAACCAAAGCUUUUGGGUUCCGGGGGAAGUAUGGUUGCAAAGCUGAAACUUAAAGGAAUUGACGGAAGGGCACCACCAGGAGUGGAGCCUGCGGCUUAAUUUGACUCAACACGGGAAACCUCACCAGGUCAGGACAUUGUAAGGAUUGACAGAUUGAUAGCUCUUUCUUGAUUCAGUGGGUAGUGGUGCAUGGCCGUUCUUAGUUGGUGGAUCGAUUUGUCUGGUUAAUU